ACUGCGUGCCGGCUGCCCUCGCUCUCACUGGCAGGUUCUUCCCCGAUGUUAAAACCCACUUCUUCAGGCACCCAAAGUAGACUGAAGACCAGCAGUUCUCCAAGAAUCCUCCUGGCCUUUAGCACCAAAUUGGAACUUCCAAAGUAUCCAGCAUUGAGGAUUGUCAGUGUGAGACAGCCACUGUUGGACGACAAGAGCCACGCUAUGGCUCCCUGGCCUCAGAGAGGAUGCAGCAGGGGAAGGGGAAGGGUGCUGUUCUGUAGCUGGACCAGUGCGUGAACCCAAGGGCAAGGUUGAUGGAUGCUUCAAGAUGUACAGGAAGAUCAACAGGAAGAUCACCCCAGGCAGGUCAAACACAUUAGCUGAUCUGUCUAGCUAUGAGAUACUUGACAAAUGGAAAACACCUGACCUCUCCAGGCAGUUUGGAGCUACGUCUACCGAUCAAACCGGGCAGGGUCCAGAGUGGUCAGCCUGUGGAUCAGAACGGAUCCAUGCCACAGGAUGACAGAGUAUGUCUGAUCAAAACUGUCUUGUCUCUAACUCCACGUUUCCUGGGGUCUGUCACCUGCCUGACUUCAAAUACCUGCUCAUCACUUCAGUCUUCAUGUACACCCACAAAUAGUAUCAUUGAGCUAACAAUAAAUGUCUGAUCUUACAGAUCCCCAGCCAUCA
rnacentral:lncRNA from 1 species